GGCAACAUAAUCACCUGAGAUCACAACAGUGGUCUUGGAAAGGAACUCAGACCUGGAGUCAUCAGCCCACAAAGUGAAGAUCCAGUUCAAGACUGUAUCUAAAGAAUCUGAAGGUGCACAAGUACAUGGGACCCAUCCACAGGUACAUGAGAUCCAUCCACAGGUUCUAAGGGAACUGGUGCAUGAAGUUAUCAAGCUGCUAUCUAUUGUUCUCACUGAUUAGAAAACAGGGAAAAUGACCCUCACUUUCAAGAAGGAAAAAGAAGAAGAUCCAGGGAACUGCAGGCUAGUCUCACUUCUGUGCCUGGUGAGAUCAUGGAGCAGAUCCUCCUGAAGGCCCUACUAAGGCACAUAGAAAAUAAAGACAAGGUGAUUGGUGGUAACCAACGUGGCUUCACCAAGGGUAAGACAUGCCUGACAGACUGGGUGGUCUUUUAUGAUGGAGUUAUAACGUCAAUGGAUAAAGGAAGAGCAAAUCACAUCAUCUACCUGGACUGGUGCAAAGUACUUGAUAUCCCGGUUGCCAAAUUGGAGAAAAACUGGAUUUGAUGGAUGGACCACUUGCUGGAUAAGGAACUGGCUGUAUGGUUGCACUAAGAGAGAGAGUUGCAGUCAACAGCUCAAUGUCCAAGUGAAGACCAGUGACAAGUGUUGUUCCUCAGGGAUCAGUGCUGGAACUGGUAUUAUUUAGCAUCUCGGUAGGUGAGAUGCGCAGUGGAAUUGAGUGUACAUUCAGCAGGUUUGCAGAUGACACCAAAGUGAGUGGUGCAGUUGUCACGCUAGAGGGAAGGGAUGCUAUCCAAAGGGAUCUGGACAGGCUUGAGAAGUAGGCCCAUGUCAACCUCAUGAAGUUUAACAAAAAAAAAAAAAAAAAAGGAAUCAAGGUAAUUAAUUAUAUCUGUAUUGUCUCUACAUAGAGUUUAGCUACCUCAUUCAUUCUCAUUACAGACAGUUCUUUUAUACAGUAAAUAGAAAACAAUUCAAAUUUCUAUCUGAAUGUAGAUUCAAAACUGGAAGAUGGGGAAAACAUCUGGUACACAGAGGGUUACAGCUAAAUUUGACUUAUUAAAUUGCCUGUCUGAGACUGACAGCUACAGCAGCUUACAGACAGCACUGCUUCCUGGUGAUGGCUUUGAAUUAAAACACCAGAGAAAAUGAGAACUUACAAAGACUGUCCCCAGUAGUCACCACACACUAUCAAUAUAGCAGAGAUCAGGUGCAAGGUGAACUACCACCUUAGUGCACAAACGUAUGUGCUUCUGAGCAUCAGCUGCUGUAGCAGUGGAUCCAGCAACAGAAAUAAGAGAUGGAAAUGACCACCAGUGGAACAACUCCUAACGUCAUAGCAGGCUUUAAUACCUGUCUGCUAUGACUUACUACUGCCAGUAAGAUACCCUUGCCUUAGAUAGUAGGGGUAAGAUCAGAUAUAGUUGCAUCAUUCCAGAUCUCAGAGAGUUUUUAAGCAACUAUAAACAAUCAACAAGCCAAAUAUUCUUCAAUGGGAACAAGUCUGUGCAUUCAGUGCAAAAGGCUUUUGUGUUGUAUCUACUUCACCAGCUGCCAAACAAAAGUCAAGUAGCUCUUAAGCGCUAGGCUGAUAAUGAAACUGCUCUCAGCAUGAGCAAACUGCAGUAAUUCUUAAAGGGCAAAUGAAGUGCUUUGUGGCAGAACAGAAAUGGAACUGCUGUUGAGUUUGGCUGUCUUUUUCAGUUCCAAACUAAGAACAGACUGUAGCCUAGCAGUACAUUUCUGUGUUUGUUCAUCUGAUGAGGUCAGUCAGUUGAAAUUAAUUUUUAUUACUCUAUAUCAAAUAAGAGGAAAUGGGAAUCAUUAAGUUACCUUUCCUAAUCAAUUCC
ensembl:lncRNA